rnacentral:lncRNA from 1 species
UCCUAAAAGCAAGGGAUCGACUCCUUAAGACUUAGAGAUUAGAGCUAGGCGGCUAGAACUAGGGUUUAUACACCAAUCAUUGUAGUUCUGGCUUGUUUACUCAAUAAUACAUCUUCUCAAGUCUUUCUCUCUAUUAUUAACCUCAAAUCCCCACGAAAUACUUACAAACAAAUACAUACUACCAGCUUAUCCAUCAUUCCGUAGUACUCACAAAGAUCCUACACAAAAAUCCCCUAACAAAAUCCAUGAUCUCCCCUUGUUCCCAAUCCUCAAGAUC